rnacentral:tRNA from 1 species
GAGGUAGCUCAGUUGGUUAGAGCAACAGACUCAUAAUCUGGAGGUCCCUGGUUCAAGCCCAGGCUGG